GAUGAACGCUGGCGGCGUGCCUAAUACAUGCAAGUCGAGCGAAUGGAUUAAGAGCUUGCUCUUAUGAAGUUAGCGGCGGACGGGUGAGUAACACGUGGGUAACCUGCCCAUAAGACUGGGAUAACUCCGGGAAACCGGGGCUAAUACCGGAUAACAUUUUGAACCGCAUGGUUCGAAAUUGAAAGGCGGCUUAGGCUGUCACUUAUGGCUGGACCCGCGUCGCAUUAGCUAGUUGGGGCGGUAACGGCUCACCAAGGCAACGAUGCGUAGCCGACCUGAGAGGGUGAUCGGCCACACUGGGACUGAGACACGGCCCAGACUCCUACGGGAGGCAGCAGUAGGGAAUCUUCCGCAAUGGACGAAAGUCUGACGGAGCAACGCCGCGUGAGUGAUGAAGGCUUUCGGGUCGUAAAACUCUGUUGUUAGGGAAGAACAAGUGCUAGUUGAAUAAGCUGGCACCUUGACGGUACCUAACCAGAAAGCCACGGCUAACUACGUGCCAGCAGCCGCGGUAA
rnacentral:rRNA from 1 species